UUGGAAAUGAAACAACGCACCUCACCAUGUUUUGCUCAAUGCACUCUCCUGGUGGAAUGGGCGUUAUUGAGACCAAGAAUUUUCAUCAGUGGCACCGCAUCCGAGCUUCAUGUAGGCCUGCAACAAAAACGCUGAACGGAGGCAGCCAACAUCUCACCGCUCGAGUGUUAGCCUUCUGUGGUAUAGCUCCAGCCUACUUCCAGUUGCUUCUAACCGCUGCUGCGUACCAGAGCCACCCUGUAUUUCUGAGCACAAUAAAACUUUUUAC